ACCGCUCAGUAACACGUAGUCAACCUAACCUAUGGACGGGAAUAACCUCGGGAAACUGAGAAUAAUGCCCGAUAGAACACUAUACCUGGAAUGGUUUGUGUUCCAAAUGAUUUAUCGCCAUAGGAUGGGACUGCGGCCUAUCAGUUUGUUGGUGAGGUAAUGGCCCACCAAGACUAUUACAGGUACGGGCUCUGAGAGGAGUAGCCCGGAGAUGGGUACUGAGACACGGACCCAGGCCCUAUGGGGCGCAGCAGGCGAGAAAACUUUGCAAUGUGCGAAAGCACGACAAGGUUAAUCCGAGUGAUUUGUGCUAAACGAAUCUUUUGUUAGUCCUAGAAACACUAACGAAUAAGGGGUGGGCAAGUUCUGGUGUCAGCCGCCGCGGUAAAACCAGCACCUCAAGUGGUCAGGAUGAUUAUUGGGCCUAAAGCAUCCGUAGCCGGCUCUGUAAGUUUUCGGUUAAAUCUGUACGCUUAACGUACAGGCUGCCGGGAAUACUGCAAAGCUAGGGAGUGGGAGAGGUAGACAGUACUCGGUAGGAAGUGGUAAAAUGCUUUGAUCUAUCGAUGACCACCUGUGGCGAAGGCGGUCUACCAGAACACGUCCGACGGUGAGGGAUGAAAGCUGGGGGAGCAAACCGGAUUAGAUACCCGGGUAGUCCCAGCUGUAAACUAUGCAAACUCAGUGAUGCAUUGGCUUGUGGCCAAUGCAGUGCUGCAGGGAAGCCGUUAAGUUUGCCGCCUGGGAAGUACGUACGCAAGUAUGAAACUUAAAGGAAUUGGCGGGGGAGCACCACAAGGGGUGAAGCCUGCGGUUCAAUUGGACUCAACGCCGGU
rnacentral:rRNA from 1 species